GUUAUCUCGGUAGUAGGUGUAGUUUUGACACACUUCGUGUACAGUGUCCUUUUUCUUUGCUUUGCACUGUUGAAGAAAACGAAGGUCACCAACUGUCCAGUAAAAGUCCUUGUUCCCACAGAGACAGUUCUUCAUAGCCCGUUGAGCCGCCACCAUUGCAGCACUGUGAUCAAUGCCGAGGUCAGGAGCGGGGGCUGUGUCCAUGGCCAGCUCGCCGUCUUCGAGUUCCUCCUUGGCGCCCUCCUCCAGCAUCACGCCCGUGUCAACCUUUACCACGCGCAUGUCCAGCACGCCGUCGAUCCACGCCAACUCGGUGUCUUUGGCCUUGCAGAACUGCAGCCAUUUGGUGCUCACCUAGUUGCAACGCUCCAAGUCAUCAUGGUAAAGAAAGCCCAUUGGGAUGAACUGUGGCUCAUUUGCAUGAUACAGAACAUCACCCCCCUCCUCAAAUAAUUGUAAUAAUAUAAUUUCAAGUGGAGUCUAACAAGUGGAUGUUAAAUGUGCUGUGAUUCUCUAUAUUUGUUGUAUUUUGACCGAAAAGACUUUAUUUAGACACCUAGAAACUGUUUUCAAUGGUAAAUAAAAUGCAGUGUCUGCUUUAUAAAUCAA